rnacentral:rRNA from 1 species
GAUGAACGCUGGCGGCGUGCCUAAUACAUGCAAGUCGAGCGAACAGACGAGGAGCUUGCUCCUCUGACGUUAGCGGCGGACGGGUGAGUAACACGUGGAUAACCUACCUAUAAGACUGGGAUAACUUCGGGAAACCGGAGCUAAUACCGGAUAAUAUAUUGAACCGCAUGGUUCAAUAGUGAAAGACGGUUUUGCUGUCACUUAUAGAUGGAUCAGCGCCGCAUUAGUUAGUUGGUAAGGUAACGGCUUACCAAGGCGACGAUGCGUACCCGACCUGAGAGGGAGGUCGGCCACACUGGAACUGAGACACGGUCCAGACUCCUGCGGGAGGCAACAGUAGGGAAUCUUCCGCAAUGGGCGAAAGCCUGACGGAGCAACGCCGCGUGAGUGAUGAAGGUCUUCGGAUCGUAAAACUCUGUUAUUAGGGAGGAACAAAUGUGUAAGUAACUAUGCACAUCUUGACGGUACCUAGUCAGAAAGCCACGGCUAACUACGUG